GGGCGAUUGGUUUAGUGGUAUAAUACCCCCUUAGCAUCAGAUCUCUGAUAUCAGAAUCUCGCAUGGGGGUGGUCCAGGGUUCGAUUCCCUGAUCGUCCA